rnacentral:rRNA from 1 species
AGAGGUGGCAAGCGUUGUUCGGAAUUACUGGGCGUAAAGGGCGCGUAGGCGGCCCGCCAAGUCCCGUGUGAAAGCCCCCGGCUCAACCGGGGAACGGCGCGGGAAACUAGCAGGCUUGAGUUCGGGAGAGGGAAGCGGAAUUCAGGGUGUAGCGGUGAAAUGCGCAGAUAUCCUGAGGAACACCGGUGGCGAAGGCGGCUUCCUGGACCAAUACUGACGCUGAGGCGCGAAGGCGUGGGGAGCAAACAGGAUUAGAUACCCUGGUAGUCCACGCAGUAAACGGUGAACACUAGGUGUAGCGGGUAUUGACCCCUGCUGUGCCGAAGCUAACGCAUUAAGUGCCCCGCCUGGGGAGUACGGUCGCAAGGCUG